rnacentral:lncRNA from 1 species
UUUUUUUUUUUCUCACCUUCUUUUCCUCUUCCCUUCUGCUUUCUGGAUUAUUGCCAGCCCUCCUACAUCUUUUCUCUCACCAUCCACAUUAUAAAAUCCUCAUUCAUCUGGACUCCCCAACUUCUCGGCCUCAGAGCUAUCCUACUUUCUCCCUGAGCUAAUCUGAGUUUAGCCAGACAUUGUUGGGUCAGAAGAUAAAGUUGAAAGGGCAAAUUGUGUCAUUUAUUCUUUCCUCAAAUAACCAAAUCCCUUUGGGAAGUUUCUCCUGUGGUCCAAUUUCCUCUCUGAGUCUUAACUAUUCUUGUUUCUUUUUUCCCCUCCCUCAAUCUUUGUGAUAGAUUAUAACAUUUCCUCAUUACUAUUAUUACUGAGGCAUAAUUUAUCUAUAAUAAAAUGCAC